GCGGUGCGCCUUAUGCAUGCAAGUCGAGCGAAGCUUUUCAGUAGUUUACUACAGAAAAUGACUGAGCGGCGAACGGGUGAGUAACGCGUGAGCAAUCUACCUUAGUUACAGGGAUAGCCCGAGGAAACUCGGAUUAAUACCUGAUAUUCUUUAUAUUUCGCAUGAAAUUAAAAGGAAAGGUCAGCCGAACUAAGAUGAGCUCGCGUUCUAUCAGCUAGUUGGUGAGGUAAAAGCUCACCAAGGCUACGACGGAUAGCUGGUCUGAGAGGACGAUCAGCCACACUGGGACUGAGACACGGCCCAGACUCCUACGGGAGGCUGCAGCAGGGAAUAUUGCGCAAUGAGCGAAAGCUUGACGCAGCGACACCGCGUGUGGGAUGACGGAUCUAGGUUUGUAAACCACUUUCAGGAGGGAAGAAAAUGACGGUACCUCCACAAGAAGCCCCGGCCAACUACGUGCCAGCAGCCGCGGUAAUACGUANGGGGCGAGCGUUGUCCGGAUUUAUUGGGCGUA
rnacentral:rRNA from 1 species